CAGAGAGCAGAUGGGGGACGGAAUUGGAAUAAGUAACUCCAACGUGGUGUGUGGUUCCCCUGUCUCCCUCCUGUCUUUUUCUGGCCUUGGUGUGCAUGAGGAGGCUGAGCCGCUGCUCAGAGGGCAACAUCCCAUGUAACUCAACCCUAGAGAGUAGCGCUCCCCGGGUGACCUUUCCAGGUCACCAAUAUGAGAGGGAAACACAGAAAGAAGUGGCUCUCUUCCUAUGGGAAUUCUCAGAGAGGCAUUGGACAUCGCUUCCCAUUUCUAAGUACUAUUGGGAAGAAAUAGUACAAGGAUUUACCUCAGCAUUGCACCUUUUCAGAGCCAUCGGUCCCCAUCCUGUGUUCUCUUGUGGUUUGUGUGCAUCCGUUCAUCAUAAACCACCACGUGCCCAUUAGUCGACUGUGGCAGGCUUGUGGGUUAUCCAGGCAGGGCCCAUUGCUGCCAUUUCACAUUUCCAUCUCCUGUGGUUAUAAAAUGCCUUGUAAAGGCCCAUGGUGCACUUUCUGGCUGCUUCACUAGCCCCACGUUUGCAAUUUCUGUUAACAAACAUACGGUUGAAUGGACGGGCAGAAUCAAACCCAUCAACCACACUAAGGAGUGUUUGUGUCUAAAAGCAAGGACUUCUUUUUUUUUACUGCUGCAUCUUAAAGGGAAGAAAGAGAGGGAGAAAAAAAACCAGAAAAGUGACAGCCGGGCGGGCCUUCCUGUCCUUACUCACCCGCCAGGGUCCUUAGCCGAGAGGCUUAUGCAGGAGGGGAUGUGGAAGUGGUAGGCGACCCUCAUGGACAGCCCCAUCAGGGUGCUGCUCCAUUGCCCGCUUGCUCAAAGUGCUGGGGUGGGGGUCGGGGGUGGCGUCCAUGCGGCGUGUUUAAAGGACUCGCGUGACUGGUUUGAGUAAGCAGCUGCAGGAUUCUGUCUCCACAGCUCCGGGGGUCCGUGUCCCCAGCUGUGGUCAGGGUUGAUGUGACCUGACCUUGGUGGUCAGACAUUCCACACAAGUUUCAGAGGUUCUUACUAACUCCUUUUGCCAAAGGAGAAAGACAAACUGGCACAAAAGAGCUGGUUUGGCUGUUCUCCGAGAUAAUUAUAAAGAGUAACAACAGCAACAAGCCUUUGAUUUCCUUUUGUGUCUAUUUUGUGAUAGGAGGAAAGGAAAGCAUUCCCUGUGUGGCUUGGAAGACAAGCAGGCUUCUGAUCCACAGCUCGAGGAUUGAUCAUCCUGCCUCAGAGAAACCAGGGAGAUGCAGAGAUCUGCUCCCAGAGGCCAGGUUGAAGUGAGAGACAUCUGGAAAAAGGAGACCUCCUCUUCUACUCCAAGAGGAUUGCCUCACAGAAAGCAUUUUAGUUUCAUUGCCCCUCGACUGCUAGGCAGAGCCAGCUGAAGCCAAGAUUGUGGAUCUUCCUGGUUCUUCUUUGGUAAGCCUGCCUUUUGUAUCUUUCACCACCACCUGUUCCCCAGAGCACCUCAUGAGUCCCCAUGAUUCCAGUUUGCUCCCUUUGCACCCAGGCUUGAGGACUGAUUUUCCCAGGAAAGGAGUUGACGCCUCUUAACCUUUCUUCUGCCAUCUAGACAUGGUUUAUGGAGUAGUGGGAAGAAAAUGGAUGUGGACAUUCAAAGACCUGAGUUUAAGUCCAGAUGUGCAAACUUGGGCCAAGCUGCUUGACCCCAUUCGUCAGUUUGUAAAAUAGGGUAGAUAAUACCCACGGAGGAAUCUGGGUUUUAUGGAGCCUGAAGUUUAUACUAUUUGGGGAAGCCCUUCUUUAAACAAAAGAACAUAAAAUUGUAAACACAAAUUGAGUGGGUACAAGAUGUAUAUUUAUUUAGAAAUAAUGCCCAUGGCCACACAAGGGGAAAGUAUGGUGGAUUGGAAGGUGUAGUGGAAACAGUCAUCUUAACAAAAGGCCAUUUUUGGGGUAGAAUUUACAAAAACAUAUGACGUGUGUGAACAUGUUGCCAGGGCCCCUUCUGAGGUGGUCCAUUCAGGGAGGGGUCCUGAAGCUUAAGAUUUAUUAGCAUCAUGGGAAAUUUGCUUCUGUAUCAACCUCACAGGGUUGUUGAGAAUUAAAUCAUAAGGCUAAAUAUAUGCAAACCUGUUUUUUAAUCACUAAAUACUGUGUAAUAUUAAUCAUUAUUUUGAUGCCUGGAACUGAGCAUAAAUGUUUAUUCAGUAAGUGGCAAAAUGGAUGAAAUUCACUCUCACCAAAGUAUUUUACAGGCUUAUUGUAUUGCCUUUCCCUAGGCCUUUAAAAAUUAAUCAGAAUAAUAUAUGCACAUAUUUUUACAAAAGAGUCAAAUAUUGAUAAAAGACUUGCAAGAGAAAAUAGCAAUUCCCAUGUCCCACCCUUCAUAUUUUCUAAUUCUACUUUCCAGAGUCAGUACAUUUCUUCCAUUUUGCUAAAUGAUAUGUUUUAUAUUGCUUUUUCCUGAUUUAUCAAUGUUGGAUAUUAUCUAGUGACUUUCUAUUUCACUUUCUUCUUCCCAUUCUCCCAAUGUACUUUAUUUAUUUUUUUAAAGAUUUUAUUUUUUUCCUUUUUCUCC
ensembl:lncRNA